GCCGAAGUGGUGGAAUGGGCAGACGCGCUGGAUUCAAAAUCCAGUGGGCUUAACACCCGUGCGGGUUCGACCCCCGCCUUCGGCACCA
rnacentral:tRNA from 1 species